rnacentral:piRNA from 1 species
UUCAAAGAAAAUUGUGAAUAAUCUGUUUU